rnacentral:misc_RNA from 1 species
AAAAAAAAAAAAAAAAAAAGAGCCAUGAAAAUAACUGAAACACACAUAAUCUCAAUUGGAGCACUGUUGCAAGCCGUAACCUGUUAGCUAGCUGCUUAUGCUGAUGCGGCAAUGAGAAAUAUUUGUUAAAUAGUAAAAGCUGACACUGGGUCUCACAACAUUCCCACAAAUCCCUAAUACAGUCUUUCUAAAGCUGCUAAGCUUCAAUUUUCCUUGUGCAAUGCCGUUUUCUUCACCUUCAAUCCCUCUGGCACUGAUUCUAAGCAUUUGAAAGAUAGAAUUUUGAAAAGAACCAUCAUCCACUAACAUAAAAACAAUUGAAGGUUUUUAUCAAAAGUGAGUAAUAAUAUUAUUGAAGAAGGAAUACCCCACAGGUAAGGGCAAGAAAAGACGAUAAAGAAUCAGGAAUGGCUGAUGGAAGAAAUAAUUUUCCAUAGCAAGGAUUUGUAUCCAAAAUUGUAGACAGAUUGAAGCUGCUUUAUUACUCGGACCACAUGGAUGCUCCACUUGAGCCCUCUACUUAUUCUCAUUUUCCUUCCUUUCUCCUUUUGUAUAUGAAGUAACUAUACAUAGCUAUGCCCUAAUCCAGAAUCAGUGCUGUGAGGGAGAAGAGGCAGUGCUAUUUUAGAUGUAGAGUCUUAGCUCAUUGCUGUUCUAAUAAUUAGGAUUACAACCUGGAAUCAAGAAAGUACAAACAACACCGAAUUGUAUACGAUACUAUUCAAUCUUCAAGAACAUCAGUGCUCCUUUUCAACAGUUUUAGGGCUUUUUUUUUUCCUUGCAAGGUCACUUUUGCUCAAUUUAUUGUUUCUUUUGGAUGUUGUAUGACACCAUGAGUUGAGAAAAUGCACCUAUGUUAUAUAAAUAUCAAUUUUUGUCCCAUUUUUUUUCCGUUCAAUCGUACUCUUUAUUACAUCUCCUACUGAUCUUGUGCAAUUUAUCAAUUACUAUCUUCUAAAACUGCAGGCAAGCCAACUUGAU